AGUAACGGCGAGUGAAGCGGCAACAGCUCAAAUUUAAAAUCUGGCCUCUUCGGGGCCCGAGUUGUAAUUUGUAGAGGAUGUUUUGGGUACCGCACCGGUUUAAAUUUCUUGGAACAGAAUGUCAGAGAGGGUGAGAAUCCCGUCUUGGACCGGCGUAGGGCCCGUAUAAAACUCCUUCGACGAGUCGAGUUGUUUGGGA
rnacentral:rRNA from 1 species